GAAGGGCUGGAAAUCCGGGAUGGAGGAGAAGCGCUCCAGCAUCAGGUCCUCGGCCAGGGGGUGCGGCGGGUGCGUCUCGGGGAAGCCCAGCUCAACAGUGCCAGAAAAGUGCAAAGUAUCUGCUGCUCUGGAAACCAAAUUAUGAGAAGAAAUGGCCUGGUACUUAAAGCAUGCACCUGGAAACUAAGAGAUGUGAGACCUAUUCCUUACUCUGCAACUGACUCCAGCUGUGACCUUGGCUAAUUACUUACACGCUUGUCAGGCUUCAGUUUUCUCCAAAAUGACAAGGAUUCUUUCUUUUUAUUUUACUAUCAUUUCUUGUAUAACAGUGAAAGCAAGAGUAGAUUUGCACCCAGUAAAUGAACCAAAGUUGAUAUAGGUAUAGUUAUAGCACAAACUUUCAUGAGCCAAGGCUCACUUCAUCAGUUGCAUGUGCUAUAUAUAUAUGUACAUAUACUUUGGUUUGUCUAUAAGAUACAAAUCUACCCUGCCUUCCACUGGACAUCAGACUAACACCACUAACUACUUAUCUCUGUUCUUGUAUUACAGUCAUGCUGAAGAGUCUCCAGCUGAGAUCAGAGCUCUGCUGUGCACAAUGCUGUACAAACACUUCCUGACCCUAUAUAGGCAGGAUAGCCAGAGGGUGGGAGAGGUAACAGACACACAGAAAGGUGUGAGACCUGCCUGAAUAUAUCGAUUAGGCCAGGAGGAGAGCUGGGAACGGUCCCCAGAUACCUACCCAUUGGAGCACACUGCUUCCCCCAGGGGAGCUGUGAUCACUCAUGGCUGCAAAGUACUCUGAAGCCCUUGGAUGGGAGAUGCUGGAGAAAGGCAAAGCAUUAUAACUAUCCUGGGGACAUGACUCAAUACUCUUUCACCCUCAUUCCUCUCCCUGCCUCCCCUCAAAAGAAUUACAUUGACAGUAUCACACCAGCUAUAGGAAGCAAUAGGCUUGCCCCUGAAACAUGCUAUUGAAUUGCCCUGAGUUUACUGAACGGCAGGAGCAAGACCAGUCAAACAGCCGCGACACUACUUCCCGAGCCAAUCGAGCCUCUGCCACCUCCACCGUCCUUCUGCAGCCCCAGAGGACGUCAAGGGUGUAUAAUAGCCAAGACACACUGAGCUUUUUAUCUUUUGUUCCAUGCCAGGUGUAGCCCUGCCACGUGACACUAUGUUCACUGCAGCAUGCCAGAGUCACGUGCGGUGGGAUCGGUAUUGGAGGUAAUACUAGCCUCAGGCCAGACUGCUUCAUUAUGGGAGAUAUUUUGACAGCCUAGCAGCAAAAGCAACAGCAGCCAGGUACAGGUGGGACUUCUAGGGGAGGGGUAGAGACACUGAGAUGGGUUUUGCUGUUUAAAAACCACUCCACUGAGAAAUGCUGGGUUUUGCCCUUUUGAAUCCAAUGGAUGGACUGGCCAAUCUUUUGCAUCAAUAUAUUGGAAUGAGAAAAGAAACACUGGUGCAUACAAUAAGACUCUCUCCUUCCCUGGAACAGGGUCGUGCUGAUAUCAAGUCCCACCGGAGCCAGCACACCACAAACACCCCUGCUUAAUGCAAGCUUCGCUCCCAUGGGGAAUCUGCUUGCUCCCUCAUGAAGAGCCAGGUAUGGCAUGUGUGGCAUACAGAGCUCUCUCUUCCUAUCUCGCUGUGUUCACACAACAACUCCUCCAAAUUUACCUCCCCGCAAAGUCACUCAGAAGGCAGAGCAGGGUAGUACCUUUGAGACUAAGCUCAGUAGGAGAGUCAACAUUCAGCUAGGAAACUAAGCCAAAGAGUUAGGUAUUCCCACUUCUUGGACGAUGAGGUGAGGGAGAAUGGGACAAAGACUGACCUCAAAGCCUAGGAUAUUAUUUCUAAACAAACUGCUGCUUCACUCUAAUACUGAAUAACUCCUAACACAGGGCAUGUUUCCCCCUCCUCGCUCAAUCUCUGAAUAGUUUAGCUUGUCAUUGCUAAGUAUACCCUCCUUGAGAACUGGGCUUGCCAAUAUGUAAGCCGCAUGUCAGGAAUCCCACAAGUACAACACGGCAAAGGUACCAAUAGGGAACUUUCCUUCAUGAUGUGUGACGGGUGGACAGACCUGCCAGAGGCCAUUAAAUUAAGGAUCAGGCCACCGGGGUGGAGCUGCAACCAGAGUGAGUUGGACUGGGAUCAGAUCCAGAACCAGACCCAAAAUUACUCCAAAAAGGGAUUAAUAUCGAAGAGCAAGAUCUUUCUUCCACUGAAAUCAAUGGGGAAAAUCUUCACUGACUUCAAUAGAAGGGAGAGAAGACCCCAGCUUUUGUAACAGGUAGCAUGAAAAAUGCUACCAAGUGACAUUUAUUUCCAAUUGAUUCAAAUGAUUUGCAAAGCUUUGGUUUCUGAGAGCAAGAAAUUUGAUUGUAUUAUAAGGGAUGCAAGCUGGAUGUAAAAAAGGCACUUCUAAGAGAGGCCAGUGAAAUAAGCAGACCUUCAUUGACUCGGAUACUGUCAGUCAUCCUCUCUGACCCUUCCCUAUUACUGCAAGUGCCUUCUCCUUUGUAGUUCAACCAUCUGCCAAACUCCCCGCAGUUCUCUCAACCUUUUCUCACAUCCCAUCUAAAAAGGCAUCUUUUCUCCCUUGCCAGUAGCCCUCCAGUCCUUAUCUGAUGUUGUUUAUUGCUAUCUUUGCAACCGUAGUACGGGAUCUGGGAUAUCAAAACGGUCAUACAGAAAAGCCUGCGUGUUUUCUCCCUUUUUUUUCUUUAAAUGCUUAGUUUGUACUGCUCUAAUCUGCUCCAUUACUGAGAAAACCACAUUGUGUCAAAAGACUGUGGCAGUUACAGUCACGGUGUGUUAAUCUGCAGCUCAAUUGUGUCCCAGCACUUGUAGGUCACUCUGUGUUACUGCACUUUCCCUUCCUCCAGCUCUAAUAUCUCGGUAACAACAGGAUACUCCAGAAAACUUAAUGCACAAGCACCUACAUACAGCUGGAAGCUAUUGCUGGGUCAAGCCAACCAAAACAGAGUGAAUGUCAAUAAGAAGAUAACAUCAGUUACCCUGUCCCAACAUCAGAUUAAAACUAUAAAAGGCCAAGCCCUCACAUCCUCCUUCACACACACACACACACACACACACACACACACACACACACACACACACACACAGACCAGUCCUGUAUAAAUAUAAAAAGUAUGUGUUAACUAGCACGCUUAUUGCCAAAUGCAUAGCACCUUGUCCAGACUAGGGUAAAAAGCAUUUUGUUGGCUAAAACACUGUAAUUACCAGUGCAGACAUGGCAUAUGGCUUUUACCAGGCCCUAAACUGGUCCAGUUGACAGGUUUGCAAAUGUUAAAGGACUCACUACUUGGUCUGCACUGGAUUUUUCAACUGUGUUAUCUGGAGCUAACACGUUGUAACAACACAAUUUUAAAUCCCAGUUUUGUGCAUAGUUUUUGUACUGCUCUAACUCUCGACUUUUAGAUAUUGACUGAGUUAAAGUGGUACCAAGAGCUAUGGGGUAAGCUACAGUGGCAUAAGCCACCUUCACGCUAAUACACCUUAGGGGUAGUACUGCUUUAAUUAGAGCAAUUGCUAAACCAAUGCAGUUAUGUAGCAAUACAAAAACUGUGCGUGUGGAUCAGUCCCUAAUUUAAGCUGUGUCUGCACCGCAUUUGGUUUGCAACAGGUGUAGACAUCUGUGAGCUAACUUUAACCUAACGAGCACAGAUACCAAGAAGCAGCAAAGCCAUGGCAGCAGGGACUCCAGAGCAAGCUAAAUAGGCACCGGGGUGUGUAGGCAGGCUGGUACUACCCAUGCGGAAGCCAGAGUCAUCGUAUCUGUGCUGCUGUUCCCUGAGCUGGCUGCAUUAAUACCGGGACAGACAUUUGCUACAAAUCACACCUUCCCCUGCAGGGUCAACAUACUCCUAAACAAGGCCACAGCCACACUUCUGAAAACACUGUCCCCCUACCUGCAGUACACGUACAUCACCAUCACACCUACCCAUACAGGCAUGUGCAAAGAUACCCACGCAGGCAGCUACGCACACCUGUUCUCGCACACACCUGCAAAGCCACACGGAUGUGCAGAUGCUCACUCCUACCUGCCAAAAUGAGGCCCAAGGGCUGGGCCGACCCCACAGACAAGCCAGUUUUUGUUGGUUUGUGUUUCUUUUCUUUUAAAUCUUGCUUUCCCAGAAAAAGAGAUCCAUUCGAGUAAACCUGUUGCCAUGACCACAUGGAGAUGAAGAGUUUUAAUCAAACAAAACUUGGGUAAGAGGUGAGGAAAGAGUAAUGAAAACACAGUGAAAUAAAAGGCAUUUAAAAAAAACAGGUAAACAGAUACUGAAAUGUUUCCUCUCCUAAUCACAACAGUCUGAGCAAAGAAAGGCGGCUCUCCUGGUCUUUCCCUUAGUUCACGUUAAGUGUAGUACGUGCACAGGUGAGAGAUGGGUUGCUGUAGCAAGCUAACAUGGAGUUUCACUUGCUUUUCGGACUGACACUGUCCUGAACACACUUCUUUAAGCACCAACAUUUCUGUUGUUCGACUUGCUGAUUCCCUCUACUCCUCCCCACCCAUCCCCUCCAGCUUUUUGCUUUUUUUAAUUUCUAAUAGCUCUUAGACUGAAAUGCUAAAUUGAUACAACAGGGGGUCAAUGACUGGCUUUUGGUGGCUAGAGCACUGAGGCAGGCAGAGAGAAAAGGCUGGAAAUAAAAACAUUUGUUUUAGUCUCUCUCAAUGCUGCUCACUGAGCAGUAGGUACAUGUGGAUGGGCAUAUGCUGUGUGCAACUGUGCAUGCAUAUGUACCCCUGCACGAAUGCAUAUGUACACGUACUAAUGUAUAUGUGCCUCACUAGCCCCUUUCUUUUGAGAGGUGCCUGGCAAUUGAGAUGAGAGCAUCAGUCUUUCACGCUCAGUUUACCCGUGUUACUCAAGUACCCGUUCCCAGAGCCUCCUCUGCCUAUGACCGGCAGCCAGCCACAUAGCCGCCCCAGGCCCUCAGCUUCCUUUUCCUGUAAAUGAGGAUGGUAUUUCCCUACCUCACAUGGGUUUUACAAGGCACAGUUCACCACAUCUGCAAAGUGCUCUCAGAUCCUAGGAGAGUAGGGGAGGCCCAGAGGUUGACUCUUCGUUCUUAAGGCAAGUCUGUUCUGCGACUAGAGGUGUGACUGCAGCACGCGUUGCACAGAUAGAUCCAGUUAGCUUUGGCCAGGCUAGCUUGAGUACAAGUAGGUGUGCCAGGGCCUUCAGGCUGGGUUAGCUGCUGCUGCUUCUCAUGUUCUGUCAGCAUGUUCACCUGUCACUGCGGUUUAGCUGCCACACUUCCCCAGAGUCUCCGACGGGCUUGUUCCACCUGUGCCCAAGUCUGUGUUGCCACAGCUUCACUGCUAUCAAUACCGGAGCUAGCUGUAUUGCAGCAAGCUCAACGGGUCAUCCUACGCUGCAAGCACACCUCUGACUGCAAAAUAGACACACCCUUGGAGUAGGAAGGGCUUAGACUGGACCAAGCCUGGCAGCUUGGGACCACGACUUCCUGAAAAGUUAAAUACUUGGGAUAAGAGAAGAAGAGGAGAGCCCUACACUCUGUGCUGUGGCCCCAGGAUGCUCAUUUUCCCCAUGACGCCCAUGAGGAAGAGGAGAAGGAGGAUUUCUCUGAGCCUACUUCACUACCUGCUUUUCCAAGGCUGGCUAGCCAUUGCUGCCCCCAAUGAGGACAGCGCAUUCAAACGGCUGGAGUGGAUGAAAGAUAUCCAGAAGAUGAGGAAAGCUGGCGAGGGGUAGCAGAGAGGGGUCUGGAUACUGUAAGACCUCUCAUCAUAUCAUGCCAGGAAUAGGGUGUCUUUGAAAGAAAAUCACUUAUCAAAUUGCCAGUUCCUAAGAACAAUCAUCCCUACGCAUGUCAGUUAACAGUGAUGGAAAACUCUGGGGAAAUUCAGCCCUAAUGGUUUAACAAGCUGUCAGCAUCCCGGCUCCACACCAACCCAGCCACCCGCCCCUUCCCCUUCCACCCAGCCCCCCCUGCAAAAAUGAUGAGACUUUGCGUCCCGAGACUGUAAAUCUCAAACAUUUUAUAGAGGGAUUGUAUUUGGGGUUUUACUGCCAAAGAAAUGCUUUGUCAGUGGCCUCCCUUGUUAGAUGACUACAGUUCAAACAUUGUCUGUGUCCACAUGCCGACUCUGUCACAGACUGUCAAAGCUUCUCUGUGGCUUCUCACUUUUGACAAGGCCCCCCUAAGCUACAGCUGGUUUGUUCUUGGCAGAGAUAUCACGUUCGCAGGGAGCUGUACGCUUUCUUUUCUCUCCCUCUGUCUCCUAGAGGUUACAUAAGCCACGGCUCACAUUAAAAGCUACUCUGCCACUGAACCAUUCUCCUGAAAAUCCAUAAAAAAUGCUCCUCACAUCCAGUAUUGCAGGGCAACUGGUGAAACCCAACUCCUAGCGUAUGUGCUCCCCGUGACCUCUUACUCACUGUCUUCUAACUGUUCACAGGUGGACAGGUCAACAUUUCCUCUUGCACGUGCCGUGCCGUACACACACGCUAGGACCUAUCCUCACAUGGAUGCUGGGUGCAUGCACACUGCGUGCCCAACAAACCAUAAAUAAGUUGCAACCACAAGACACUUAUUGGCACCUGCAUACACAUGUGUACACACACACACACUUAGGGAGCGAUAGAGCCAGUAAACAGUGUAAAAGUUCUCAAUAUUUCCAUGGCACUUUUGUUCAAUCAUGUUCGUGACUCCUUUAAAAGCUCUCUGGGAAUGUUUGGGGAAUGACUGUUUAUCCUAGGAAUACCGACAUGCGUCUGAACUAGGGAACUGAUAGGCAAACGUGAGUAUUUGCCAUUCACUAGCUGUCAGUCACAAUUCCCUGGUUUUCUCGAGUUCAGUCAUUCAAUCAGGGAGCAAAAAUAAGUGACUGAGCAAUCACACACUGCGAAUGGCAAAUGGUGAAAUGUCGGAGCGGUUUGCAACUAAUUUUGAUGCCUGAUGCUUAAAAUUGCUCAUCCAAACUGUUUGGCAAAUACUUACAAAUAACUAAUCUGUUCACAGCAGGAGCAAGGGACUUUGUUUGUCACAUAUCUUAUUUGCAACAGCCAGCUCUAAUCCACACCCAGACACCACUCAAACCAUAUUCACUUGCUGCACGUACACACAUGCACAGGGUAUUCAGGCAAGCACUAACACUAUAUUCAUGCACACGCCUGUAACAUUGCACACACAUUUCCCUAACUGAAACCUUAGAAUGGCAUUGCUAACUUUGACCAAGUUUAAAAGGCCAUUUCAAGAUAAUACAGUUUGAAAAUCGUGCUGUUCACACAGGCUAUCCCCCUAGUCCAUUAUCUAGAGAGUUAUUAACAGCUAAGGAUAAGAUGAAAAUAGCUACAAUAGCACGGUGACCAACACAUGGUAUAGCAGCUACAGGCUGGCACCGUGGGUUAAAGAUAUCCGUAACAAGGUGCACAUACCCUAUAAAUAAGAGAGCAGGUUUCCUGUUUUUUGUCCACUAGCAGAGACUGAAAGACCUAAAAUAUCAAGCCCGCGCUAUUUAUAUAUUGGCUUGUGAGAUACACCCUGCUGAAAUACAAGCCCAGCUUUGUGGGAGCAGUCAUCAGAAUUUCAGUCGCUAGCAUUUCAGCCAUAUGGUGGCCUCUAUCCCAUUCCCCAGCAGACUAACAGAUGUGCCAACAGCUGACGGGGCAAAGAGCUCCUGCUCGCUAGGUUCCAUCACACAUUCCUUCUCUCACCACCCACGGAAAAUUUAGGAAUAAGUUUGAGCCUAUCUAUGGAGAGAGGGAAAAAAAGUCACCCAGAGAGACUUUUCAAGCAACAAUGGAGCAAAAGAGAUAAAAUGAAUGUUUUUCUCACGUGUAUCUUGCAUUCAGCAGCACUGCCUUGAAUCAUCUACAGCAUCAUAAAGGUCAAAGCCUCACUGACCCUAAAAUAGAGAGUCAACCCCAAGUUAAAUGCCCAGAAGCCACUCAGACCCAUCUGAUUUAUCUAGCCAUCCACCUAUUUGCUUGUCUUCGGUUUUGCUACAGUGCCUGUCUCUGUACCACAGUAGCGAAGCCCAUUACAACAAAAUGCUGAUUAGGAUGCAGAUGGGAACAUUAUAGGAGGCAGAUAUAAAAUUGGCUUGACAAAGUAACCGAACACAUUUAUAGGUAGGGUAUUGCUUUUAAUUAGCCUUAAUUUCCAAAGAGUUAUUGCUUGCACAAAAAAAAUCUUUAUGCCUACAUAAAUUACCGACUGUAGGAUUCCCCGCUCCCCCUCCCCCAAUUAUUAAUGCCUGGGAGGGGAGAGCUAGUGACACCCCACUGCAUUUCAUUGGGCAAAUUCGUCUUGUUCCAAUACACUCCAUAUUUUCAUUAGAACGGCAAAGCCCCUCCCAGUGCUCAGUGAGUGAAUAUGGAAAUCAAGUCCCGCAUUUGACUAAUCUCUAGACCAACAAGAACCUGUUGCAGUUACCAGCAGAAGUCAUUUGUACUGUGCAUAUGUGUGCAACACUGUCUAUAUACAGGCACAUACAUACAUAUGCAGUCCACAAAGGUGCACACAUGCAGAGCUACACUUCGUUCUACACAGAUUUUACAGUUUGCGCACUGAAAUACAUUAAAAUAAUCCAGGACAUCCGUUCUACCUCAUUAUAGACCAAGGGUCACUCUGCUGACAUUAACCCACCAAGUAAAUCCUGGAAGCUGUGCACAGCCUAGAUCAUGAGAUUGGGCUUAUAGGGGUUCUGCUGGAUUAGGUGGCAGGAAAAAAUCCUCAUUCCACGCUACUCUACAUCUCCAUAGCACCUACCCUUGCAUGAAGUCACAGGUUCACCAUUCACUGUUCCUCCCCCCUAAGAGCUCGGGGGCAAGGAGCAUCUGUGACUCAUGCCCUGUGCACAGAUCCCACAGCAGAAGCAUCCCUGCUUUUUUUCACGGAGGCCCCUUGACAUACAUAAUGGUACCUAAGGCAAGAGACGGUGCUGCUCAAGUCCGCAGCGGGAGAGCUCAUUCGUGCAGGGCCAUGGCAUUAUGUCCCUCACUGGACAGGUUGCUUCUUUCCAGGUCCGUAUUUCUAUUUGUCAAAUGAGAGCCAGGGAAAGGGGGCUGCUUAAUGAGCCCAUCAUUAUCAUCCUCAUUGUAUAGGAUUCCCCCUCCCCCCCGAAAGAAAUUCUGAAAAAUCCUCCAGCUAACACACCAGCCUCCCAGCUUUAUCCCCCUCCUGGGCGGCUAAAUCCAGAAUGGGCUUCUAUCUGUCACACAGGCGAUUAGGAGAAAGUCUGUGUGGUUCCCUUCUCACUCCUGGCAGGAAACACACAUAUUGCCUUUAAAUCCCCCCUUUGCUGGGGACUUCAUUGUUACAUAAAAGCAAUGGCUUGAACUAGCAGUGCCUUGUAUUUGUAAUAACAUUAUCUGCAGCUCUGGAAAAAAAAAACAACCCUGAAACACCAGCAUCAGGGUGAAGGAAAAGAGGAUUCUGGUUUUAACCCACUCAGGUCACAUUUAGACAACACGGUAGCACGCUUGUGCCAGCACAGGUAAUACACAAAUAAUGUUGUCCCAGGACAAUGAAGUUCACCCUGCCUUCAGCGCUAGGCACCUGCCUGCCAGGCAAAAUGAUACAGCUCAGAACAAAUGGGGCUGCUGCUCUGGCUGGAAUUUUUUCAAUGUUUAAUCCGAUAGCUGAUAAGAUGCUCGCUGCAGACUGACGGCUCCUGGAGUCUUUACUCAGGCCAGACUCUCGCCAAAGGCGAGGGGGGAGGAAGGGUUGACCUGAGCUAAGGACUGAAGGAUGAACAAGUAGGGCUGUCUCACUUUCACUCUUACUGCAGGGAAAGAGAAUAUUUCUGUGUCAUUUUGGAUUCCCCCCACCUUCCCCAACUCCCCCAAGCUCUGAGCCCUGGGGCAAGCUGCCCAUGUGUUUAGAUGGUGGGAUGCCAGGUGGAGUCCCCAUAACAGCUCUCAAAGGCCCAUUGCACCCUCAAGCCAAGGAAAACCCACUGAAUGUAACUGAGCACAAACUGAAAACCUGAACCAGCCAGGACAGGCCUGCAAACUCAAAACCCAGGGACCAGAAAGGGAGGCUGGGCAGUGGAGCCUAGCUGAUGUCCAGUGGUCCAAUAAUAAGUCAGUGGAGGAGCUCUGCCUGGAUGCAGGCAUAGACAUGAGACUGGGAAAAGGCCCCCCCAAGUCACAGGGAGCCACUCCUCUCACCCAGCUUCCUCCUGUUGCCAUUGACCAAAAUCCUUUCUUUCUCCAUCAGGCAGAGAGCCGCACAGCAAUCUGCAAGGAGGCCUCUACCCUGCUCCCAAGGCAUCUAGGACCCAGACAGUGAGAGGGACUUUUGGUGUGGGGCUUGCCUCUCUGAUACUGAUGCUGCAAACUCAGCUGGUGCAAUGAGCUGUUCUUUUGUGAGGGGAGAAAAGCAAGAGGAAAAACAGUGCAGAUACCAACAGCCUGUUGUCCCACUUUGGUGCACAUGCUGAGAGCAAUCUGACACCCCCUAAAUCAUCUGCACUGUUACAGGUCUCCUGGGGAGCUGGAGGGUACUGUCUUGUCCCGAUCCUGCUUAUUUUGUGAGGGCAAAAUGACACUGCAACCCAAAGUGAACUGGCUCUCCCGACACGUGUGCUCCCACGGACAUACUCCAGAGCUCCCCAUCAGCUCAGUUCGCUCCAGGCUGCAGACUGCUUCUCUACCAGGCAAAACUCACCUACUAGAUAGCUACACGUGGCUGCAGGAGCCAGAAAACCUUACUGAAGCCUGGGGCGGGGAGUCCGUAUCCUAAUGCGCUGCAGGGCACUGCUCACAUCUCCGGUGUGCAGAGGUCAAGCACUGCUGCACUAGAGGAGAAACCGAGUUUAUGAGCACUCCAGGAUGCUUUUAAUUUUCCCAGAAAACCCACUAAAACAAACACGUAUUUUAAAAAACCCAUAAGCCUCCACUACCAACAUGCAAAAGGAAUGGCCACAGCUUUGGGAGACUAGUACUGCACUGCCUUUGGCAACCCCUCCACCAUCCAAAGUGGGAGUUUCCCUGGGUUUAGCUGUCAUGGUCCUAGGAGAUGUGAGCUCAUGCUCCAAAACACAGGGCACAUGUGACUUGCAAGGUCUGGCCCAGCACAAAAUCCAGGUCCAGUUCCACUUUGGAUAUGACCCCACAGCCCCCUAUGUUUUGGGGUGUUCAGGUGAAGACUUGGGGGCAGAGGCCUCUCUCAUCCCUGGGAAUGACAGCUUUAUUAUUGGUUCCCCUGUACUCGGGAUGCUCGUGUCUGGUUUUUCGGCAUUCAUCACGGUGCUUCUUCAAUGCCCACCAUGGGAAAAGAAACAAAAUCUUAUCCCGGAGACUGAGACAUACCCACCCCUCGCUGCUCUUGUUCAGUGCAUCCUCCAGAAGAUGCAGGGACUGCAUGUCAAGGUCUCCUCUGGAUCAGUGGUCCUGAAAGGGGCACAGCUCAGUGCACUGCUCAGGGUCAGAACUAAAGCAGAACUGACAAGUGUAUGCGUGCCAGGAUGAAUGCAGCUUUUUCUUCGUUUGAGAGUCAGAGGCUCUGCGAUGCAAGAGUGACUGGAUGUUUUAAUUUGUGGGGGGGCCCUCAGGGAGCAGGGAUUCUUGUAGUGAUUUGUGGAUGCAUGUACCUAUCUAAUCUAGGCAUCUCUACAGUGCCCUUCACCAUGAUAUCCAGGUGCUGUCCUCUCCUUCCAGACUGUGAACUAUCAAGGAGGACAAGGAAACCUGGAUUUCCUUAGCAAACUAUCCCCUUCACUCUUUGCCCCUUCAUGAUAAUGAUGCCUUCUUUUAUGACAUCCCUUGGGGAUGCCUCAGGAGUCAGGGUUUGUCUGCACGGGAAAAUAUACCUACAUAACUUUACUGGUAUAAUUAUGCUGCAACGGUUAUACCAGCAUAAUUCUUGGUGUGGACACUUGCAUCCCAAAAGGAGAGCUUCACUUCUGAAGUGAGAUAAACUGGCCAAAGCUAUUGGAUUAAGAAUGGAAAUUAUACUCGUUUUAUUAGGUGUAUUAUCUGGAAGAAGAGUGGAAAUUAUACUGGUCUUAUUAGGGGAAAUUAAUGCUAGUGAACUAUUGCAUACAGAUAAGCCUCCACUCUUAUGUCACACCACUCUGCCCUUCCUUUCUCUACAUCACAGAGGAAAUUUCUUGGGGGAAAGCUAAAAAAACCCAGAAAGCCAGGUGACUUCUGGUGUUCAGUCAGACGUUUGGGGAGUGUGGUUUGCCUCCAGAUGGAGUGGACAGGAAGUGGGACGUGCCCAACUCAUUUCUAUUAAUGUCUUGCUCUGUAGCUCAUUGGCAAGCAGAUCACUGCAAGAAGGCUGCAGUCCCACUGUGAAGGGAUGCAAGGGGCUCAUGAUGCAUUGCUGUUUCCUUGACAGGCUUCACUUGUAGAAUCAGGUUUCUGGUGUAGUACUUCCAAUUACCAGCUCCAGGUUCCUCUUCCACCAACACUUCUUGAUCUUCUCUUCUGACUCGCUGCUUCCGCAGAUAGUCCUACCUGUUAACUUGUUUGCUGGAACAGUCCCAGGGAACCAAGACAAGGAGGCACCAAUUGGUCUAGGUGAAUUCACUUCUAAAUGGGAAGGAAAUGCACAUCCAGCUCUGGUCUGCAUGCUGCUUGGGUGGGAAAAGUACAUUUAGAAUUGCAUUGCAAGGAACAGGAGGCGAGUGACACGAAGGAGACGCCUGUGGCUUAGGAGCGGGGAACAGUUCCCCAAAGUCCCUUCUAGUCUCUGAAAGAAAGCUCCUUCAGGACUCCUGUUCCAGGAUGAACUCCUGCUCCACAAGCUGCCCCAGAAACCUCUGCUGCAACAUCUGGAACCCCCAUCCAAUUACAAGAUGAAAUGCAGGAUGAUCAAAAGGAAAUGUUGCCUAACUCUCUUGAGAACAAGCCAGAGCGUGGGAUAAUUAGCAGCUUUCUGACUGCUGUUAACCACCUCUUCCUCCUUAACAUUUCUCUGGCCCUUUCACCUACAUCUGCAGUCCCUCCACUUCCAAAUACAAUCCCCAGUCCCCUUUGGGUGUGGAUCUCCUGUUUGGCUUGCCUGCCAGCAACAGUCUAGCUUCACCCCAAAAGGCUUCGAGGACUUCUCCCCCCCCUUGUAGUUAACCCAGAACAAAGCCUUUGGGGACGCAUUAGGACUGCUUCAGGCAGGCAGUAGAUAAAAAAUACAUGGGUUUGGGAGCCCUAGGGACUUUAGUGGGUCUGCUGACAGGGAGGCAGCAACAGAAAAGAAACACAGCUAAACAACUGAGAGGCAAUGCCUACUUUGUGUCUUCUAUGCAUUGUUUUGGGUCGGGGAGAUAGUUGCUCUCCAGCUCCAAGCUGUCCAGAAUGGCUAAUCCACGGCAGUAGUGUUGGAGUGAUGUUGUUGUAGCCAUGAUGGUCCAAGAAAUAUGAGAGGGGCAAGGAUAUUCUGGGUGAUAUCUUUUACUGGACCAGCGGUAUAGCUGGGGUUUUGGAUCAGGGCUGGACUUGAAGUUUGAGAAGCCCCUAGCAAUAGCCAGGGCUCCAGCUGUCAGAAAGCUGCCUGCUCCUGUAGUCUUAAUGUCAGAAAGGCAGACUAGGCUGGGCCUGUGAGCUGCACAUCUGUUAUGCACAGGGUCCCAAGGAGCUGUGUUGCUGGUUUGGAUUUAAUGCUGACCCUGCCCAAAAAAUCAGCAUUCAACAAUUUUCCACUGCCUUUCAGAGGCAAGCAGACCAGCCUGGAAGAUAGAGGCUCCUAAAAAGCAAUCUCCCUGCCCACUCCCAAGUAUACCCUUUUCCCCACAUGCUGUGGCAACAGUGGGAGAAAGGGGGGGGGGGUCCCUGUAACUAGUCAACCACAAAAAUCAAGUCUUUUCCCCAGCCACGAGGGUCACUGUCUCACCUCGCAGAGCAGACUCAUGUCACGACCCUGGAGUGAUGCCCAUUGAGAAGACCUCAAUAACAAUCCUGCCUGACAUGGGAAACACGCUGUCCAGGGACAGUGGAAAUCUGCAACCAAGGCCACAAACAAGCUGAAACAAGGGAGAAAUGCUAAUAAGAGCCUACAAAGCACCAGGAGACCCUUGGCAUAUAGGCACCAUGGGAACAUAACUGAAGCAGGACCGGCGUAGGUAGAACAGUGGUUCUCAACCUUUUUAGACUCGAGGGUCGAGGCACCCUCCAUAACUGCUGCAAAUUGAGCCCUAUUUCAUGAGCUGAUUUAUUUACUGCAGGGCUUACCUCCUUGCAGAGGUGCUAGGCAGUAGGGGCCGAGGAGACGCCAAGCAGGGAAAGCCUGAGUCUGCCCUAAUCUGCUUAUCUCCUCACACCUCCCUUAUCUCCUCACGUUUCCUGGGGCACCCUCCAGAAGACCUCAAGGUACCCUUGUUGAGAACAUGGGCAUAAAAGGUCAGCAUGGGAACCGCAUUCAUUAUCAUCACAGAAACACAACUAAACGUGCACAGCAAUUCAGUAAAAAGACAGCUAAGUCACCUGCCAUGGGUAUUUCAAACAACUGCUGGCAACAAUAUACUGGGUGUAUACUCCGUAUUAACUGAACUGCUGUAGGACAGGGCACCCUCCUAUUUUUGAUGGCUCGAGAGACACCCAAAAGGCGGAAGAACAGAGGGACUUGGUACCGGGACAAGUAUUGGGGCGGAUCAGGAAUGUCUCCAAGGUGUAACACUGCUGCUCAGUUCAUCAACACUUGAGGUUGGGCUAAUGGGCAGUGACCGAGUUUUUAUACCAACAUCCGUGAAACACAGACAGACCCAGAUCACAGACCUUUCCCCAGCCUUACUUCAACAUAGGCCCUACUUCAGCCUCACUCAGGAGGACAAGGUUCUUUGGGUAAAUUUACUAUCUUUUAUAAGACCAACUCAAAUAGCUGAAAAAAUUCUUCUUUGCAAGCUUUCAGGUGCAAAUACCCUUUGUCGGGCUAAGAAAGUGUCUGCAGAUGGCCCGUGCUCUUCCUGGAUGGAGUGGUAAAGCCAUCAGAGGCCAGUACGGAUGCAAAUAGCCCUGUCUGCUUAUGUCCUUAUACCAAUAUGGCUACAACCUACACCUGUGAUCAGUCAGGAGGACUCACUCCCCUUCCCCAUCUAGCUUGUACCCCUCUGCCACCAGCGUGGCCUUUCCCCCUGAGCAUUGCCGUACCUAGACUCCUGGCAGCCCCAGGCAAACCUUUACUAUCAGGCCCCUCUUCGCCAGAGAUCAUGAGAAUAAUAAUCAGAAAAGUCAUAGAUUCAUGGAUGCUAGGGUCAGAAGGGACCUCAACAGAUCGAGUCGACCCCCUGCCGAGGCAGGAAAGAGCGCUGGGGGCAUCUGCCUAUCCAGCCUUCUCUUAAAGACCCCCAAGAAUGGCAGUCUUUAUCACAUCAGUGGUAUCGAUGUCUUUAAAUACUUCAUUCUCAAUUGAUAACACUGCCAGUCCCGUAUAUGCACAAUACCAAAACUUUUUUUUUGCAAUUGUAAUUUUUUUUUUUUCAUUUUUGGGCCCCCUUUCUGUCCAGGCCCAGUUCGCCCAUGCCUGUGUCCAGGUCUGCCCCGAAGCAGAGGCACGCUUUGGGGAGCUGUGGCGGCGCUGCUGGGUGCAGAGUGCCGGACGCUCGAGACACAGCCCUGGAUGGCCGGACUGGUCUUUGCCUGCCUCCUGCAGCCCAGAGGGCUCCAGGCAGGCAUCCAACCCGUCUGACCAUGCCGCCACCUCCCCGCUGCCCUUUGCCUGGGCUCUGGAGCCUGGCACCCGGGGCCAAGGGGCAGCAGAGGCUGUCUCUGCACUCUCCCAGCCGCACGGUCGCUGCUCUGGAAACCCCCUGCGCAGGGUCCCCGCCUCCACUGGCUGCUGGCAGCAGCCCCGGAGCCGCAGCGCUGCCACCGGGGAGAGAGGUAAUAAAUAACCCGGGGAGAGAGGAGCGGAGCCCGGCGGGCGGCGCAGACUCUGACCUGACAAAUACCCGCUGGAAAAUCAUCACCUCCCACCCCCUGGAGCCUGGAGCCAGCCCCGGCCCUGGCCCCAGACAGGGGGGGGAAGAUGCGCAAACAAGGCUGCCCAGGCGCUGGGGUGCACAGGAGCCAGCCAGCCCCGCCAGGCGCCUGCCGCCUCUGCCCCAGCCAGCUGCCCUGAGAAGGAGGAGGAUGGGGCCUGGCUCCCCAGAGUGCAGGGAGGGCGGCGGGCAGGCAGGGGUAGGGGUGCCAGGGAGCUGGCAGGGAAGAGGCGAGAGGAGCCAGAACUCAUGGCAGAGGUGAUGUCUUUUAUUAGACCAACUAGACAUUUGCAAAAAAAAAAAAGUCUUGAUUUGCAAGCUUUCGGGGACAAGGGAGAAAUCUGAGAGAGACGAAGACAGGCUGCGUGAAAGCAGGGCACGCGGCGGCAAAGGAAAGUACACGGCAGCGAGGCACAGGAAAGAGUGGAGGAAGGGGCAAGCUCUGCCGAUGCUCCGUGGUCAAUAAUGAUAAAGGAAAAAAAAAAAGGUUGAGGCCAUUAUAAAGAAGCGAUUGCAUUAUGGAGAAGUGGCGGCGGCAGCCCCUUCAGAAUCUAUGAUUCCCUGAGGUCACGUCUGGUAUGUUCAGAGCACUGGCCACUGUCGGUAUUUACCCUGCAUCAUUAACUCACCAACCAGUUUUGGCUUGCCAGAAAUGACUGAUUUCUCCAGCCUGAUGGCAAUCAUCAUUCGGGAGACAGAGCAGCGCGUUCCUGCUGCUGAACCAGCGCGGGUGAUAUUUAAUAAAUAAAUAAAAUGGCCGGAUGGUUGA